UGCUUGUGUUCCCUCUCUCUGUCAAAUAAAUUUUUAAAAUCUUAAAAAAAAAAAAAAAAAAGGAUAGCUGGGCAGGAUAAGAUGGUGGUUAAGUUUGGUUAGAAAAUAUAGAGUAAAAGGAGGAUGUGGCGGUCUUCCUUUACCCUGAGCAGAUCUCUUGAAUUUCCUUCCUGAGAACCUGCUUUUUUGGGGAAGACCUGCAGUGCCAGUAAGACUUGGCAUUCCUCUUCUUGUCAUCCAGAGAAAAUUACCUUGCCUUUCUGCUCAAAACUAUUCUCAUUCCACUGUGACUCCAUGUUUGCAUCUUCCAUCCUCAGUGCAUGCUCCCAUUCAGUCCGUCUGUCAGCAAUGCCUACUAGGUGUUGGGCUUUUGGCUAGGCCCUGGGGCCACAGAAAGGAGACUUGCUCUCAAGGGAGUCAUGGACACAAUCAUGUCCAUGAAUGGACCAUGACUAAACAGUGUGAUCACUGCUGUGCCCACAUGUGUCAACUCCAGAGUGCCAGCCUGAGGAAUCGAGGGAGGCUUCCCCUAGGCAAUGACCCCACUAGAAUCAAGUCUUGAUUGGACAAGAGCUCUGUCACCCAAGAAAGAGUGAGGGUCUGCCUUCAACUGAACUCCUGGUAUAUAGUCCCAGAGCCUGUGAACCAGAAUACCCUGGACUCCACUGUAUCCCCACUUCCUUUCCCCUUCACCACCCCUUCACCAGCACCAGCUGCAUUGCUGUGACCACACUAAGACUUGGCCUGAGAUGGAGGGAGAGUGAAGCAGCUUGCUACACCAAUAUGGCUGACCAAGACCCUGGAAGGAGGAAGUGGGUAAGUGCCUUAUCCAAAAGGAUAUAGCAGCCUCAAGUCUUAUCAGGGGGACAGCAGCUUCCUUCCUCCUUCCUCCACCUCUGACCAAGUCACAGUGGGCCACAGCAAUGCAGGCAGCUGUGAGGUGGGGACGAAGAGCUGUAAAACGGCUAGAGUGGAGGUGUACGGACCAGUUCAUGGUUAUGCUACCCCAAGCAGAAAGGAACGGUGACUUAGACUAGCAUGGUGGGAGUGGAAAUGUGAAGAUUCAGGAGACAUAGUUGAGAGGCAGAACCAACAGGACUUGGUGAUAAACUACUCUCAGGGAAAGGGAGGAGUCAUGGCUUUCAGUCAUUAGCAUCCACCCCCGGGGUGGCCUCACCCCCUUUCUGGCAAUCCAAGAAACCAUAUGGCUCUUUCCUCUGCCUGCUGCUCAGCAAGUGGGUUCCAGUUUGAUAAGAAAAGCCUUCCUGUGGUGGAGACUGAAAGGAAGAGGAAGGAGCUCACCCAUUCCUGCCUAGGAGGUUGUGGGAGAAGGAAGAUGGCCAGAGCUGUGUGUCCACUUCAUGCCCUCUGGCUUCUGGAGUGGGUGCAGCUGCUCUUGGGACCUGAUGCCGUCCCUCCAGCCUGGGCCUUGAACCUGGACCCAGUGCAACUCACCUUGUACACAGGCCCCAAUGGCAGCCACUUUGGGUUUUCACUGGACUUCUACAAGGACAACCAUGGGAGAGUGGCCAUCGUGGCGGGCGCCCCGCGAACCCUGGGCCCCAGCCAGGAGGAGACAGGCGGCGUGUUCCUGUGCCCCUGGAGGGCCGAGGGCAGCCAGUGCACCUUGCUGCCCUUCCACCUCAAUGAUGAGACCCGACACGUAGGCUCCCACACCUUCCAAACCUUCAAGGCCCGGCAAGGACUGGGGGCGUCGGUCGUCAGCUGGAACGACAACAUUGUGGCCUGCGCCCCCUGGCAGCACUGGAACGCCCUAGAAAAGACCGAAGAGGCUGAGAAGACGCCCGUAGGCGGCUGCUUCGUGGCUCAGCUCCAGAACGGCCACCGCGCAGAGUACUCGCCCUGUCGGGCUAACACCAUGAGCCAGGUUUACGUGAAAAACGGCUUUAGAGACGACCGGCGCUACUGCGAAGCGGGCUUCAGCUCCGUGGUUACUCAGGCUGGAGAGCUGGUGCUUGGGGCCCCUGGCGGCUAUUUUUUCUUAGGUCUCCUGGCGCGGGCUCCCAUUACCAGUAUCGUCUCGAGUUACCGCCCAGGCACCCUCUUGUGGCACGUGCCCAACCAGAGCUUCACCUUCGACUACAGCAAGCCAGAGUACUACGACGGCUACCGGGGGUACUCGGUGGCCGUGGGAGAGUUCGACGGGGAUCUCAGUACUACAGAGUAUGUCCUCGGUGCCCCGACCUGGAGCUGGACCCUGGGAGCGGUGAGUGCCCUGUCCCGCCACCGGGCAUCCCCAAGCCCCCUAAACCUCCUUCCCUUUCUCACCCGAGACGGGAGGCUGACCUGGGGAGCAAGAAUGACGCGCUCCUGUGCGUUCUCCGUGCAGGUGGAAAUUUUGAACUCGUACCACCAGACGCUGCACAAGCUGCAUGGAGAGCAGAUGGCUUCGUAUUUUGGACACUCGGUGACCGUCACUGAUGUCAACGGAGAUGGGAGGCACGACCUGCUGGUGGGCGCCCCUCUGUACAUGGAGAGCCGCGCUGACCGCAAACUGGCCGAGGUGGGGCGCGUGUACUUGUUCCUGCAGCCUCGAGGUCACCACGUGCUGGGCGCCCCCAGCCUCCUGCUGACCGGCACUCAGCUCUACGGGCGAUUCGGCUCGGCCAUCGCACCCCUGGGUGACCUCGACCGGGAUGGCUACAACGAUGUUGCAGUGGCCGCCCCAUACGGAGGUCCUAGUGGUCGGGGCCAAGUGCUGGUGUUCCUGGGGCAGAGCGAGGGGCUGAGCUCCCGCCCCUCCCAGGUCCUGGACAGCCCCUUCCCAGCAGGCUCUGGCUUCGGCUUCUCCCUGCGAGGUGCCGCAGACAUCGAUGACAAUGGAUACCCAGACCUCCUGGUGGGAGCUUAUGGGGCCAAUAAGGUGGCUGUGUACAGAGCUCAGCCAGUGGUGAUGGCCAAUGUCCAGCUGCUGGUACAAGAUUCACUGAAUCCUGCUGUGAAGAAUUGUGUCCUGCCCCAGACCCAGGCGCGCGUGAGCUGCUUUAACAUACAGAUGUGUGUAGGAGCCACUGGGCACAACAUUCCUCAGCAGCUGCCCCUAAACGCCGAGCUGCAGCUGGACCGGCAGAAGCCCCGCCAGGGCCGGCGGGUGCUACUGCUGAAUUCGCAACUGGCGGGCACCACGCUGCAUCUGGACCUGGGCGGGAGGCACAGCCCCAUCUGCCACACCACCGUGGCCUUCCUUCGAGAUGAGGCCGACUUCCGGGACAAGCUGAGCCCCAUUGUGCUCAGCUUCAAUGUGUCCUUGCAACCCAGGAAGGAUGGAGUAGCCCCUGCUGUCGUGCUUCAUGGAGACACCCAUGUCCAGGAGCAGACCCGAAUCAUCCUGGACUGUGGGGAAGAUGACCUGUGUGUGCCCCAGCUCCAGCUCACCGCCAACGUGAUGGGCUCCCCCCUCCUCAUUGGAGCCGAUAAUGUGCUGGAGCUGCAGAUGGAUGCAGCCAAUGAGGGCGAGGGGGCCUACGAAGCGGAGCUGGCCGUGCACCUGCCCCUAGGCGCCCACUACAUGCGGGCCGUCAGCAACAUCGAGGGCUUUGAGAGACUCAUCUGUAACCAGAAGAAGGAGAAUGAGACCAAGAUGGUGCUGUGUGAGCUGGGCAACCCCAUGAAGAGGAAUGCCCGGAUAGGAAUCACAAUGUUGGUGAGUGUGGAGAACCUGGAAGAGGCUGGGGAACGUGUGUCCUUCUGGCUACAGAUCAGAAGCAAGAACAGCCAGAAUCCGAACAGCGAGGCUGUGCUGCUGGAUGUCCCAGUCCGGGCAGAGGCCCACGUGGAGCUGCGAGGGAACUCCUUUCCAGCCUCCCUGGUGGUGGUGGCCAAAGAAGACAACAGGGAGAACAGCUCCGACAUCUGGGGCCCCAAAGUGGAGCACACCUAUGAGCUCCACAACAAUGGCCCUGGCACUGUAAGUGGCCUCCGCCUCAGCCUCUGCCUCCCUGGCCAGUCCCAGCCUUCUGACCUGCUCUACAUCCUGGACAUACAGCCCCAGGGGGGGCUUCAGUGCUCCCCCCAGCCCACUCCUAACCCCUACAAGCUGAACUGGAGGCUGCCGACCCCCAGCCCCUCCCCCACCUCCCCCGGGCAUCACAAGCGGGAGCGCAGACAGGCGUCCCUGCCAGGGUCCAACCAGCCGGCCAGGCUUCAGGAUCCAGUUCUCCUGAGCUGCGCCUCGGGGCCGCACACGGUGGUGCAGUGUGAGCUGCAGGAGAUGGUGCGAGGCGAGCGGGCCAUGGUCAGGGUGCUGGCCUUCCUGCAGCAGCCUGGCCUCCAGCAGAGGCCACUGGAUCAGUUCGUGCUGCAGUCGCAAGCUUGGUUCAACGUCUCCUCCCUUCCCUACGCUGUGCCCGCCCUCAGCCUGCCUAGUGGGGAAACUCUGGUGAGUAUGGAGCCUGCAGGACCCACUGUCUUCCCAAGCGUCGGCGCCCCACACGGUGGGGGUGGGGCAUCCCCGCGUCUGAGGGGUGGCACAGGUGCAGACGCACCUGCUUCGAGCCUUGGAGGAAAGGGACAUUCCCAUCUGGUGGGUGCUGGUAGGUGCGCUCGGCGGCCUGGUGUUGCUCACGCUCCUGGUCCUGGCCAUGUGGAAGGUCGGCUUCUUCAAGCGCAACCGGCCGCCACUAGAAGAAGAUGAGGAGGAGUGAGGGGGCAGCCCGCGCCCUGUCCUAGGAGGAAGGCUGGGGUCUGUGCCUGCUCUGCCCAAUCUUCAACGUGUGCCCCCCCCCACUCUGCUCACCCACGAGUUGGUGAACACCAUGGAGGCCUCCUGGUGUUCUCCCCCUCCGAGGGAUAAGCCUCAAGUGGACCUGAGAUUCGGGAAUAUAACUUGCUCUCCCCGCUCCCAUUAAAAAAAAAAGCCUUUAAAGCCAUGUUCAGGUGAGGAGGGGGCCGGGGGAAGCUGACUAAGCCCUCAGCCUGAGGAAAGCAGCGUCACACCAGGGAGAGGAGAGCGGGCUUUGCUGUCCAGCUACCCUUCCUCCCCAUCAAGGAGAAGGCUCUCCAGUUAGGAAAGAGGGCUCCAGGCAGGGAACUCACAGGAGCGCUAGGAGCAGAAGAGAACUCUCCCGCCUCCGCCCGCCAGGACUGGAGUCCCAGGAUAGACGGGGGGUCCACCUGGAGUCCCGAGAAAUGUGUUGAUUCAUGGGUUCAGUGAAUAUUGAUUGAGCACCUCCCAUGUGCCCGGUACUCUCCCAGUGCUCAGAUGGAGCAGUGAAGAAAGCAAAGUGCCGGCCCCUUGUGAGACUUACAUUCGACCAGGGGUAAAGAGUAAAUGAGCGGGGCGCCUGGGUGGCUCAGUUGGUUGGGCAACUGCCUUUGGCUCGGGUCAUGAUCCUGGAGUCCCGGGAUCGAGUCCCACAUCGGGCUCCCUGCUUAGCAGGGAGUCUGCUGCUCCCUCUGACCCUUCCCCCUCUUGUGCUCUCUCUCUCUCUCUCUCAUUCUGUCUCUCAAAUGAAUAAAUAAAAUCUUAAAAAAAAAAAGGGUAAAUGAGCACAUACAUGUCUGGUCAGUGGUGGUCAGUGCUGGGAGUAAAAAUCAAGGUAAGGAGAUUCUGGUAGAAUUACGUGGGAGAGGACUGACAUUUUAGGUAGAGUGGUCAGGGAAGGCCUCUGAUGAGGUGAGCAGAGAGAGGGAUGAAUGAGCCAGCUAGCUGCACAAGAAUAAUACGAUCUGGACAGAAAGAGCAGUCCGUGAAAAGGCCCUGGGGUGGGAGCAGGCUUGAUGUGUUUAAAUAAAAGCCAGGAGGCACACCUGGGUGGCUGAGUCAUUGGGCGUCUGCCUUCGGCUCGGGUCAUGAUCCCGGAGUCCUGGGAUCAAGCCCCGCAUCGGGCUCCCUGCCAGGCGGGAAGCCUCCUUCUCCCUCUCCUACUCCCCCUGCUUGUGUUCCCUCUCUUGCUGUGUCUCUCCCUCUCUCUCUGUUAAAUAAAUAAAAAAUCUUUAAGGGGCGCCUGGGUGGCUCAGUCGUUAAGCGUCUGCCUUCGGCUCGGGUCAUGAUCCCGGGGUCCUGGGUUCGAGCCCCACAUCGGGCUCCUUGCUCAGCGGGAAGCCUGCUUCUCCCUCUCCCACUCCCCCUGCUUGUGUUCCCUCUCUCGCUGUGUCUCUCUGUCAAAUAAAUGAAUA